GGAGAGAUGUCCGAGUGGUUUAAGGAAACGGUCUUGAAAACCGCUGUAGUUAUGCUACCGAGGGUUCGAAUCCCUCUCUCUCCU
rnacentral:tRNA from 1 species